GGACGAACGCUGGCGGCGUGCCUAAUACAUGCAAGUCGAGCGAAGUUUUUCUGGUGCUUGCACUAGAAAAACUUAGCGGCGAACGGGUGAGUAACACGUAAAGAACCUGCCUCAUAGACUGGGACAACUAUUGGAAACGAUAGCUAAUACCGGAUAACAGUAUUUCUCGCAUGAGAGAUAUUUAAAAGUUGGUUAUGCUAACACUAUGAGAUGGCUUUGCGGUGCAUUAGCUAGUUGGUGGGGUAAAGGCCCACCAAGGCGACGAUGCAUAGCCGACCUGAGAGGGUGAUCGGCCACACUGGGACUGAGACACGGCCCAGACUCCUACGGGAGGCAGCAGUAGGGAAUCUUCCGCAAUGGGCGAAAGCCUGACGGAGCAACGCCGCGUGAGUGAAGAAGGAUUUCGGUUCGUAAAGCUCUGUUGUUAGGGAAGAAUGGAUAUGUAGUAACUAUACAUGUAAGAGACGGUACCUAACCAGAAAGCCACGGCUAACUACGUG
rnacentral:rRNA from 1 species